rnacentral:lncRNA from 1 species
UAAAUCCUUAUGUUUUAUAAGUAAAAUGUGUUUAAAUAAAAUGAUUUUAUAAAUUGUCUUGAAAUUGAAUUAUGGUUUUGAAAAUAGAGUAAUUGGAGACCACUUGAUGUGUUGUAAAUUUAUGAUUUUAAAUUGAAUGGCUUAUGACAAUAUAUGAGCAUGAAUGGCUAAACUGAUUUUUGGUGUUAGAAUUAUUUGUACUGUGUAUUCAGC